rnacentral:lncRNA from 1 species
CAGAGCAACGCUACGAAAGGGUUCGUGGGUUAGCUGGGCAUAUUCACGACAUGGCUAGCGGCGGUGAGGAGCAAGUUUGCAAGGGUCGCGAGGAGGAGCGCACUCAGGAGUUGAUAGGGGCUAACUACUAUUGGCCUCGUAUAAGGAACGAGUCACAUCGGGCACCUCCAGCCAUUGCGACAUCAUUUGACAGGGAAGUUGAA